rnacentral:rRNA from 1 species
ACGGAGGGUGCGAGCGUUAAUCGGAAUUACUGGGCGUAAAGCGUGCGUAGGCGGAUGGGUCAGUCAGCCGUGAAAGCCCCGGGCUUAACCUGGGAACGGCGGUUGAGACGGCCCGUCUUGAGUGGGGUAGAGGAUGGUGGAACUCCCGGUGUAGCGGUGAAAUGCGUAGAGAUUGGGAGGAACACCGAUGGCGAAGGCAGCGAUCUGGGGUCAAACUGACGCUGAGGCACGACGGCGUGGGGAGCAAACAG